rnacentral:rRNA from 1 species
AUUGAACGCUGGCGGCAUGCCUUACACAUGCAAAUCGAACGGUAACGGGCCUUCGGGUGCCGACGAGUGGCGCACGGGUGAGUAAUACAUCGGAACGUGCCCGAUCGUGGGGGAUAACGAGGCGAAAGCUUUGCUAAUACCGCAUACGAUCUACGGAUGAAAGCAGGGGACCGCAAGGCCUUGCGCGGACGGAGCGGCCGAUGGCAGAUUAGGUAGUUGGUGGGAUAAAAGCUUACCAAGCCGACGAUCUGUAGCUGGUCUGAGAGGAUGAUCAGCCACACUGGGACUGAGACACGGCCCAGACUCCUACGGGAGGCAGCAGUGGGGAAUUUUGGACAAAGGGCGCAAGCCUGAUCCAGCCAUGCCGCGUGCAGGAUGAAGGCCUUCGGGUUGUAAACUGAUUUUGUACGGAACGAAAAGCCUUCUUUUAAUACAGGAGGGUCAUGACGGUACCGUAAGAAUAAGCACCGGCUAACUACGUG